UUCAGUUCAGUUCGUGCUUCAUUCCUUCACUCCUGUUCAUUCAUUUCUUUCACAUAGACGUAUUUGCAGAGUGAAAUUGUUUAUAAUUUGAGAGUAUUGAAUACUAAUACAAUUAGUAUUCCUUUUCUUUCUAUACAUUAAUUUAAACACAAGAUGUCUCGUUAUCGAGAAUGGGAUCUCUCUUGCAAAGUUUAUGUGGGUAACCUUGGUACAAAUGCAUCUAAAUAUGAAAUAGAGAAAGUGUUUUCUAAAUAUGGAAGUAUAAGAAACGUGUGGGUCGCACGAAAUCCUCCGGGCUUUGCUUUCGUUGAAUUUGAAGACCCACGUGACGCCGAAGACUCUGUUCGUGGUCUAGAUGGAACACGUUGCUGCGGAACGAGAAUUCGUGUUGAAAUGUCCAAUGGCAGAACAAGAAGAGACAGACGAUACUCCAGGUCCAUUUUAUCAACCAACCACCAACACACCAACGACCUCACCACAUCUCUUCACCACAACUACGGCUUCUUUACCAAUAAGACAUCCGCGACCGUCGCUCGCAACUACAUCCCGCUCAACUUCUGCGAUCGGCUCUCCAAACUACUACGCGCAGCUGAAGCCUUCACCAACUGCGUCCCCUCUAUCCUCUUAACGGCCAUUACCUAAAUCCCGAAAUUCCUAAACACCUGGACCUAAAAUAUAACUAAUGAGAGCCACAUAGUAGGAACCUACAAUAUCCUGUGUAUCAUUGCAAACUCCUGAUGCUUCACGUCUGCACACUUACGUCGUCACCGAGGCACCGAACUAGACACCGACUUACGGCGAUCAACUUGUCCCCGUGUCCGCAAUUCGUUCUUGAAACUCCCGGUUAAAGUCAUCAUUCGAAGAUCACGUUGAAACUUGCUCCGCCUCGGUAUUCGAACCCCCUUCGGCCUCACAGCAGACCUCACAACGCUCGACGACCUACAGGCUCACCAAGUCUCGAUCCCGCAGUCGUAGCCCACGUCGGCGCUCAUACUCGCGUGGCCGAUCCGGCUCCCCACGGCGGUCGCCAUCAGUACGGCGUCGCUCCCCCUCCGUGCGACGCUCACGGUCGCGCGACCGACGCAGCCGAUCAGAUAGCAAGAGCAGAUACUAAACAUGAAGUUAUGAACAUUGGUGAUAACUGUGGACAAUUUUGAGGAACUGUAUAUUAUAGUGAUGAAAGUGUAUUGAGUUUGUGCGUGUAUUGAGAGAUAGUGUAACUACAGCUUUAGUCUUCAUUUAUUUGUAAAAUCUUAAUUUUUGUAUAGCCAUAAAUUCAAUAAAUUUAAGGAAUCAGUCAGCACUCACUAUUCUCUUGAUGAUAGGUUAAAUACUAUUAAGUAAAUAAAGAAAGUAAAUGCGAGAUUU